GCCAGGAUAUAUACUGAUUUACUUCAUAAAUGGAGGGGCAAGGGACGACUCCCAUUUGUUCCAAAGGAGUUAUGGGAUAGAUGGCAAGCGAAGUGGUCCGAGAGUUCUUCCUAAGAAAUUGUAACGCGACAAUCGAGGAACCGUUGUAGUGAGACAAGAGGCCCUGGAUUAGGGCCGACACAGCACACUUGCAACUUCAUCUCUAUUUAAGAGCAUGCUAGAAGAAUUGUAAGGUUGUUACGUAUUAUAUUCUCAAUAUAAUUUAAAAAGUUAUGAAAAAUGCUAAUUAUUUUAUUUUCAAGAGAUGGCUGAAGGUGUAGCCCUGGGCAAGAUCUGGCUGUUCCAUGAGACCCACAUGACCAAAAUGCUCUAAUGGAUCAAGGCAAUAUAUGGAUGAGCGUACCAAGUAAGUUAGGGAAAGCCUUGAGGAGAGCAUAGCGGAGGCGUCUCACGAUGAAGUCGGUAACACGGUGACACUGUCCUAGGAGGAGGAGGAAGAAUUUUCUUAAAGACAGUUCAAGAUUCAUUGUAUAGCAAAUAUGUAUAAGGGAUGGGAACUAAUAAGACAUCUUCAUAUCACUCUGAUGCCUCGACCUCCAUAACUGCCACUUGUGGGAUUGACGAGCACCGCUUUCAAUAGCUUCAAAACACUACCUUGCAGCUGGUGCACCAGCUGCGUGAGAAAGAUGAGCGGAUUCAGCAGUUGAAGACCACCAUGCGCCAGUUGGUGCAGGGGUUGACCUAAAGCACUCAGCAAUAUGUCCUCGGUUCCUUUACCAGACUCCUCAGUGAUGAUUCGCAAGAAGAUUCACAAUCUGGCAAGUUAUGAGUUUAUUAUUACUUCUCCUUUUAUAUUCUUAGCACUCUAUGGCUGUUCAUCCAAUUUGUGAUAUGGAAUUUUGUUAUUUUAUUAUUUUUAAAGUAUUUGCAUUUAACAUUAUAAAAUUCUUAAUUUAGAUUA